rnacentral:lncRNA from 1 species
UUACACUGACCACAAUCUGCGCUCAUCAUCAUCAUUAUUAUUAUUAUUAUUUUUGGAGACAGAAUCUCACUCUGUUGCCCAGGCUGGAAUGCAGUGGUGCUAUCUGGGUUCACUGCAACCUCUGCCUCUCAGGUUCAAGCAAUUCUCGUGCCUCAGCCUCCUGAGUAGCUGGGAUUACAGGUGCCCACAACUACACCUGACUAAUUUGGCUAAUUUUUUAUAUUUCAGUAGAGACAGGGUUUUCACCAUAUUGCCCAGGCUGGUCUCAAACUCCUGACCUCCGGUGAUCCACCCACCUCAGCCUCCCAAAGGGUUGGGAUUACAGGCGUUAGCCACUGCGCCUGGCCUGGGCUAAUAAUUAACAUACACACAUCUCAGACAAACAUGCAGUCAGACUCACACACACACACACAUUCUCUCUCUCUCCCUAUCUCUUUGCCACCUCGCUCACACACACACACACACACACACUCUCUCUCUCCCCCUCUUUGCCACCUCGCUCACACACACACACACACACACAACAUUCUCUCUCUCUCCCUAUCUCUUCCACCUCGCUCACACCACAUCACAACACCACACACACACACAUUCUCUCUCUCUCCCUAUCUCUUUGCCACCUCGCUCACACACACACACACACACACACACACACAUUCUCUCUCUCUCCCUAUCUCUUUGCCACCUCGCUCUGGUCGCUCCCCAGGAUUCUAUUGCAGUCAAUGGCACCAGCAUCCAUUUGGUCCACGAGGCAGCACCCAGGGGCUCAUGACUGACACUGUUUCCCACUCCCUGCCCCAAUUUCAAAUCUUGAGUCCAUUCUACCCCCUGCAGGGCUUCCCAACCCCUUCUCCCACCCUGGCCUUGGACUCCGUCCUCUUGCCUGGAGUAUUCCAGUUGCCUCCAAGCCGGCCCUGGCAUCUGCUCCUGCCCGGCACCUCCAUUCUCCCAGCUCUGAUCAGGGUGAUCUUUCUGGAUGGCACCUCUGACCCUGUCACUUCUUCAAAGUCCUCCUGCCAUUCAGCAUCAAGAAGGGCCUGGCCAAC